rnacentral:rRNA from 1 species
CCUACGGGAGGCAGCAGUGAGGAAUAUUGGUCAAUGGGCGAAAUCCUGAACCAGCCAUGCCGCGUGCAGGACGACGGCUCUACGAGUUGUAAACCGCUUUUGUACCGGGGUAAAAUGCUCCACGUGUAGGGUUUUGAAAGUACCGUACGAAUAAGGAUCGGCUAACUCCGUGCCAGCAGCCGCGGUAAUACGGAGGAUACGAGCGUUAUCCGGAUUUAUUGGGUUUAAAGGGUGCGCAGGUUGUUGUAGAAGUUAGCGGUGAAAUUGCGGUGCUCAACAUCGGGACUGCCGUUGAUACUGUAGGCCUAGAGAGCGGGUGCAGCAGGCGGAAUGUGUGGUGUAGCGGUGAAAUGCAUAGAUAUUACGCAGAACACCGAUUGCGAAGGCAGCAUGCUGGCGCGCAUCUGACGCUGAUGCACGAAAGCGUGGGUAUCGAACAGGAUUAGAUACCCCGGUAGUC